AUCGCGUCGCCCCCCACAAUUCUCCGUAAAAGGAACAUGUGUUUUGGGGGCGGAUAUUGGUCUCCCGUGCUCAUGGCGUGGUUGGCCGAAAUAGGAGUCCUUUCGAUGGACGCACGAACUAGUGGUGGUCGUAAAAACCCUCGUCUUUUGUUUCGUGCUGUUGCUCGCAAGGUAAACUCUUUAAAAACCCCAAUGUGUCGUCUCUUGACGACGCUUCGACC
rnacentral:rRNA from 1 species